rnacentral:lncRNA from 1 species
AUUCUAAGUGUGCUUUAAAGUCUGGUCAGGAUUUUUUCUUCCAUCUGUGGGCCAGUAGCAUCCGUGCAGCAGUUUUCGCGUACAUAAAGAGUCUUUUCUGUUCUUUUGGGAUCUCAGUACCUAUAAUUCCUAAUACAAAAGCUUCUGUUUUUUUUUAAAGAAAAGUUAUUUAAAACUUUUUUUCCAAUUCAUUAUAUACCAUUUCCCAAAAUGAUUUUAUUACCUGUCCACCACAUGUGAUAAAAGGUUCCUUCCUUUUCCGUACACUUCCAGCAGAUAUUUGAACUUGUUCUGUACCUUUUAGUUAACUUAGAAGGAGUCAAAUACCACCAAUACAUCAUUUUCAUACAAUUUUCUUUCAGCGUACAUGUUGUAAACUUCAAAUCUGUUUUCCAAAGCUCCCAAUCUGCCAGCUGUAUGUUAUGUCCUAAAUUCUUUGCCCAAUUUAUCGUUACCGAUUUAACCUUUUCAUCUUUUGUGUUCCAUUCCAGGAGCAAGUUAGACAUUUUUGACAGUAUUUUAAUAUUGUUUUCUAGAAGUUAUUGGAAUCUUGCUAUCUCAUAACUAAAACCUUUCUUUUUAUCUAUCUUAAAAAUAUCAUUUAAUUGCUAAUACUGUGACCAAUAUAUUACAGCCUCCUUUAUGUCUUCAAAGUCUUUUAAUUUUAAUUUGCUUGGCCUUUGAAGGACUCUUAGAUAACCGAGCCGCUCAAGGGGUUUAGCAUGACGAAUCUAAAACGUGGCCGUACCUCUUCUGUGGAAGACUGUUCCUUUAAUGCCUCAGAACCUAGGUCUAAGGUUUCGAAGCAUACUGGGCUGGAUUCACCACCUAAGAUCUUAGAGCCUUCUAUCUCAUCAUUGGAGGAGUUUUUCUGCAAUCUUGUGCCUCCUUCACCUGUUACUUCCAAGCAGUUAGAUUGCCUACAUGAUCCCGCAACGACUUCAAAUACUCCCUUGCCAGGAGACAAAUCGCUGUUGGAUAUGACCUCCAGCCCAGAUGGCCUCUCUCCUUACCCCAACCGUCAUCGCAAAUCUUUGGGUGAUAUAGUACAAUCAGCGGAGCUGAGGACUUUGCAGAAAUAUUGCCUUCACUUAGCUGACGAAAUAAAGGUGCUAUCAGCUUCCAUCAAUAUGUUAGAGGGAAAACUAAAUGCCUUCACCAAAACCCCUGUCUCGAUUUUGAACCCACCAUUAAAUCAACAGGGACCUGAUAAUUAUGAGGCACAGAGCCUAAGUAGGGGGCAGCAGCUAGUAAACCUCCAACUCACCCCUAACAAUAUAUGCUUGAACAUUGCUCACUCCUGCUUCCCCUAUUAUGCCUGGAGAAAUCGUAAAGCUGCUGUGAUCUCAUUGCGAAUGUUGACCAGGUCUUACUUGGCCCAGGGUGGUCUCCUAUCAUUAGAAUGGCUGCCAGAGACACCAAAAUUUAAGCACUUGUUGCUCAAGUUCGACUCUCCCAGGCUUCCUGCACUUUUGAGCAAACUUCAAAAUCGUCUCAACUGGUUUGGAAUCUUUCCACAAAGAUGCUUCUUUAACAAUUGUAGGGGCAUUAUUGCGAAAAUCCCAAACUCAGCAAAUUUGGUUAGCCGGCCUACAAGGAGGACUGAGGACCGGAAUUCGCAACAACGGACCCUUCCUAUGAACCCCUCCCCACGAUUUACUAGCCGACCAUCCCACCGGCAAGAAGGGACUGCCUUAAGGGGUAGAGCUUUAACGGGUCCAGCUUCGGCCACUAUAGAUGCUUCUAAAGAUUGGCAGACACAAGCCCAUGUGGACCCCCCUGCAGCGAAAACGAUCUCCAAUCCUCAAAAUGGCUACAUUCCUUGUGCUGAUACCAUGACGACGCAAGAGACACUGGGGGAUCCAGUAGCCCUUUGGACAAACACUGAGGCAGUGGCAAGGCUAAACAAGCUACUGGAAGCUAACCGAAAAGGAUGUUUUUCUUCUGUCUUACAUAGUGCUUUCCCAUCAACAAGCCUCGAUCCUCAAGGCACGACUCCUGCAACUACAGAGCAUACGGUAAACGAUCAAGAUUUUCUCUCACAGCGAUCUGUAAAUUCGCCCCAGCCACUGGCUGCUCCUGUGACAUGUGACAACUUGAACCCGAAGUGCAAACAAUUAAAAAUCACUGCCUUUUUUCACCCUACUGCCCCUUCACGCUGCGUGCACCCCCAUUUGGAUUCUCCAGGAUUAACCACGCAAGAGAAAUCAUGACUUGAAGGAAACACAAAGCGGCCUCUUACACUACUAUCAUGGAAUGUGGCUGGUAUUAAAUCCAAGCUGACAGAUCCAUCAUUUGUUGCUUAUAUAAAUGGCAGCCACAUCCUCCUAUUCCAAGAGUCAUGGGCCUGUGAGGACUUCUAUCUAACAGGAUACAAGGGCUUCUACCUGAAUGCCACGCAGAAUUCGUUAUCACAUGGUAGACCGCAAGGAGGCUUGGCUACUUUUGUUUCCUUAGCCAUAAAUCUUCAGGCUGAAAAAAUCGACAUCCAGUCGACACUCAUGCUGAUUAUAAAGUUGCAAACAGCAGAGGAAACGAUAGUAGUGAUUAAUAUCUACUUAUGUCCAAUUUAUAAGAGAAAUUUGGUUGAUCUGAGAUGGCAGGAAAUUCAAGUGACAUUGGAAACGCUUUUUGAUAAAUACCCCGAAGCCACUUUUCUGUUGGCGGGAGAUUUUAACGGACGCCUGUCACACACUGACCAAAUCUUAUUCUCUAAAUUUAGCAAGUACCCUUCUUCACCUCUUAUGACUACAGAUCUUUUACCAAGGAAAUUCAAAGAUAACAUAGCCACGUAUGCAGGUUUCAAAUGCAGGCAAACCUUGCUGGCCCUCAAUUUCCUUCUGCUAAAUGGGGCAAUCAGCUCGGACUACCCUGCCGAAUUCACCUAUUGGUCAGGUUCACGUGCAUCCACUAUUGAUUUUGUAUGGAUAUCUCCUGACCUUACCCCAAAAAUAUCCAGCUUUAAGGUGGCUUCAAGAUUGGAGAGUGACCACUUCCCUCUAGAAAUUUCCUUGACUUUGGCUGACGAACUUGAUAGGCACUCCUUUGUGCACCUAUCAAAUGACCAUCUGGAGAUAAGACCUACAGCCCUUAAAUGGACCUCCAACUUGGCCCAGCAGCUGAACGAACUUCUCUGGUCUGAUCAGCUCCAAAUAAAAAGAGCUUCCCUUAUGCAGGCGGAUGAGCCUCUACCAAUAUAUGACGAUUUAGUAGAACUUCUAAAACCAACACUAGCUCGGUCCCCCACAAAGCAUGGUAAACAGUUUUUCCACAAAAAAUGGUUCGAUGAGGAAUGCAAAAACUUCAAGAAUCAUCUGUAUAAUGAAUGGGUGGCAUACAGAGCAUCAAAUGACCCCAUGCCAAAUAACCGUCUUAUCACCCUCAGGAGAAGUUAUAAAGCCCUACUAAAGGAAAAGAAGCUCGAGGCAGAAAGAAACAAUUGGAACAACCUCUUGAUAGCUGCAGAGAAUAGAAAUCCAGCCUCUUUUUGGCAGUUAAUUUCCAGAUACCUGGGUAGGCCGCUUGCAAGAAUAGAACCCCACAUCUCAGCGGACACUUGGGAAAGAUACUUCGCCGAUCUGUAUGCAGCUCAUGAUGCCUGCGGAGAUACGGUGGAGCCGGAAGCACUGCCCGAUUGGGACCCAGUUACAUGCCCUGAAGUUGAAACUCUCAUAGAUCGAUUUAAAGCAGGCAAGGCCCCGGUGAUGACCUUAUAUCCAUUGAUGUCAUCAAAGCAAAUAAAGAUUGGUGGAUCCCACUUUUAGCAGCACUUUACACGCAUAUAAACAAAACAGCAAAAUUCCCCUCAAGCUGGAGCUCUGCGUUGAUUGUAUUAAUACAUAAGAAAGGACCACGUACAGAGCCGAGCAACUUUAGGCCAAUCAGCUUGCUAAAUGUCAUUGGGAAGAUUUACUCGGGGUACCUGCUAAACAAACUAUUGAAAUGGAUGGAGGACGACAAUAUCAUUGCCGAUGAACAGGCGGGUUUUCGCCCUGGAAGAUCUACCACAGACCAAAUACUAACCUUGAAUCACCUGGCGGAAAAGUAUGCCGGCAACGCCCCAAAGGUUCUUCAUGUGGCUUUUAUUGACCUUAAGCAGGCAUUUGAUCGAAUCUCUAGAAAGCAGCUAUGGACAAAACUGGCUGCUACAAAGAUCGAUCGUCGUCUCCUUCAUCUGAUUAUCAGCCUCCAUACAAACACCUUUCUGAGAAUCAGGCUAGACAAUAAAGGCCUAGUCUCCAACCCUGUUACCACCACCAGAGGGUAAGACAAGGUUGUCUAAAGGCCCCAGCAUUUUAUAAUUUUUACAUUAAAUCACUGGUGACUCUCAUGGCCAAUGAUGAUAUCCACCCCACCCCCAAUAAGCAGGCCGAUCUCUGAACGUUCUUCUGUAUGCGGAUGACGCCGCACUUCUUGCCAGAUCCCCUAUUGGACUGAGGAGAAUGUUGCAAGCUCUACAUGAAUACUGUGAUCAGCAUGAGCUCCAUCCCAACUAUGCUAAGACCAAGAUCAUGGUCUUCUCUGCCCGACCGAGACUCCAUCGAUGGUCGAUGAACGGGACCCCCCUAGAGCAGGUUAACUGCUUUAAAUAUCUGGGACAAGUAAUACGGUCAAAUAGGUCUUUUCUGGCCCAUAGAGACUAUAUAACAACUAACGCAUCUAAAGCAGCCAUCCAGAUUAGAUCUCUAUAUGCUAAGAAUCAGGCUCAAUCAGUGAAGAUAGCUUUGAGACUCUUUCAAAUGAAAGUCCUCCCCCUUCUUUUGGUGGGCAUCUCUUUAGGCUCCCAUAGGGAUUUUUGAAACUGGAUUCUAUCCAAACGCGAUUCCUUAGAGCCAUCCUUAGGAUUCCCCCCUCGGUAGCGGGUGCGGUUAUGAGAUUAGAGGUCGGCUGGCAAGCUCUACGGUAUGUGGCCUUGAAGACGAAGCUCUGGCUAUGGCUCAAGCUCUGUUUUAAACCAGUGGGUAUUGCCCCCUUGAUAUUGAGGGAUGAUUUCCAAUCAUCGUGGGAAAGGGAGGUCAUUGAUGAGGUUCAAUCCUGCGGAUUGUCUCACCUUUACUUUGAGUCUAUGACGUACAAUCAAGCUAGAGCUGUGAUCUCCCGGAGACUGAGUGACAUUGCCAGACAAGAGGACAUAGCCCAGGUAAAACCAGGGAUGUUCCUAGGGGACCAGAUUUAUCGGACCAUACCAGCCCCCUACCUUGCAGAAAUCCAUUAUGUGGAAUACCGUAGACUUCUUACAGUGGCUAGAUUAAAUGUCCUUGACUCUGCGAUAUUGUGGGGAAGGUACAGGGGGGUACCAUACGCCCAGAGAACCUGUCAUUGUGCCAUGGGUGUGGUUGAGUCCACUGAACAUAUUCUCUUGACUUGCCCUUCUUAUGCAGAGCUUAGACAAAAUUUUAUAGACCCACUCUUAUGUCAAUUCAGCUUCCUACCUGGAGAAAACCAGGUCUUACACUUGCUGAAUAAUGCCACUAGAGCUAUACCUUCCUUGGUGGCCAAAUUUCUCUUUUUAGCUUUUAAGCGUCGCAAGACUAUAAUUGACUGUAUUGAUAUGGGGCUAUCUGUUUAGCCCAUUUUAGUGUUGGCUAAGUUUUAAAAUCUCCCUGGAUGUUUUUAACUGUGUAUUGAUAAAAUGUACUUUUUUCUGACUGACGGUCGAAUAAAAAGGAUGAUGAUGAUGAUG